UUAAAAUGAGAGUUUGAUCCUGGCUCAGGAUAAACGCUGGCGGCAUGCCUAAUACAUGCAAGUCGAACGGAGGUGCUUGCACCUCAGUGGCGAACGGGUGAGUAACACGUAUCUAAUCUACCUUCUAGCGGGGGAUAACUUUUGGAAACGAAAGGUAAUACCGCAUGUGGAUGUUAUUAUCGCAUGAGAAAACAUUCAAAGAUCCGUUUGGAUCACUAGAAGAUGAGGAUGCGGCGUAUUAGCUAGUAGGCGGGGUAAAGGCCCACCUAGGCGAUGAUACGUAGCCGAACUGAGAGGUUGAUCGGCCACAUUGGGACUGAGAUACGGCCCAGACUCCUACGGGAGGCAGCAGUAGGGAAUUUUUCACAAUGGACGAAAGUCUGAUGAAGCAAUGCCGCGUGAGUGAUGACGGCCUUCGGGUUGUAAAGCUCUGUUGUAAGGGAAGAAAAAAUAGGAGAGGAAAUGCUCUUAUCUUGACGGUACCUUACCAGAAAGCCACGGCUAACUAUGUGCCAGCAGCCGCGGUAAUACAUAGGUGGCAAGCGUUAUCCGGAUUUAUUGGGCGUAUAGGGUGCGUAGGCGGUUUCGCAAGUUUGAGGUUAAAGCCCGGAGCUCAACUCCGGUUCGCCUUGAAAACUGCGGGACUAGAAUAUCAGAGAGGUAAGCGGAAUUCCAUGUGUAGCGGUAAAAUGCGUAGAUAUAUGGAAGAACACCAGUGGCGAAAGCGGCUUACUGGCUGAUUAUUGACGCUGAGGCACGAAAGCGUGGGGAGCAAAUAGGAUUAGAUACCCUAGUAGUCCACGCCGUAAACGUUGAGUACUAAGUAUUGGGGAUUACCUCAGUGCUGCAGCUAACGCAUUAAGUACUCCGCCUGAGUAGUAUGCUCGCAAGAGUGAAACUCAAAGGAAUUGACGGGGACCCGCACAAGUGGUGGAGCAUGUGGUUUAAUUCGAAGCAACACGAAGAACCUUACCAGGGCUUGACAUACAGUGCAAAGCUACAGAGAUGUAGUGGAGGUUAACAUUGAUACAGGUGGUGCAUGGUUGUCGUCAGUUCGUGCCGUGAGGUGUUGGGUUAAGUCCCGCAACGAACGCAACCCUUGUCGUUAGUUACUAACAUUAAGUUGAGGACUCUAACGAGACUGCUAGUGUAAGCUAGAGGAAGGUGGGGAUGACGUCAAAUCAUCAUGCCCCUUAUGUCCUGGGCUACACACGUGCUACAAUGGCCGAUACAAAGAGUCGCAAUCUCGCGAGGGGGAGCUAAUCUCAAAAAGUCGGUCUCAGUUCGGAUUGAAGUCUGCAACUCGACUUCAUGAAGCCGGAAUCACUAGUAAUCGCGAAUCAGCUAUGUCGCGGUGAAUACGUUCUCGGGUCUUGUACACACCGCCCGUCAAACCACGAGAGUUGGUAAUACCAGAAGUACGUUUCCUAACCGUAAGGAAGGCGCGUCCCAAGGUAGGACUAGCGAUUGGGGUUAAGUCGUAACAAGGUAUCCGUACGGGAACGUGCGGAUGGAUCACCUCCUUUCUAUGGAG
rnacentral:rRNA from 1 species